rnacentral:rRNA from 1 species
AAGAUUUAAAAAUAUUGAAUUGUGGAGGGGAUAUUGGGGAGCCUGAGGUAGUGGCGGUUUUGGGGCCUGCGCUUAAUUGCGCGGUUCUGAAGCAGCUGCUGGUUCUAGUUCUGUUAACUGAUAUUUCUGAAGCUUUUCUAACUACACACUGUGGAGUAAUUUUCUCAACUUCUUUUCUUUGGGGAUGCAAGUCCCCAGAGUACACAAACACAAACAAUUUUGUAAUUUCUAAUAGUCAAAAAUAUUGUUUUUAGUUAAACAUUCAAAUAUUUA